UACGGGGGGGGCAAGCGUUGUUCGGAAUUACUGGGCGUAAAGGGCUCGUAGGCGGCCAACUAAGUCAGACGUGAAAUCCCUCGGCUUAACCGGGGAACUGCGUCUGAUACUGGAUGGCUUGAGUUUGGGAGAGGGAUGCGGAAUUCCAGGUGUAGCGGUGAAAUGCGUAGAUAUCAAGAGGAACACCUGCGGCGAAGGCGGGUUGCUGGGCCGACACUGACGCUGAGGCGCGAAAGCUAGGGGAGCGAACGGG
rnacentral:rRNA from 1 species